UCCCUGCUGGCGCAAUGGUAGCGCGCAAGACUUCUAUUAAUGACUUCGGUCGAUGGUGAAUCUUGAGGCUGCAGGUUCGAAUCCUGCGUGGGGAG